GGCCUCUUCGGAGGGUAAUCAGCGGCAGACGGGUGAGUAACACGUAGGUGACCUGCCCUAAAGCUGGGGAUAACGGAUGGAAACAUACGCUAAUACCCAAUAGACCUGUGAGGUCGCACUCAUAGGUAAAGCUCCGGCGCUUUAGGAGGGGCUGCGGCCCAUCAGCUAGUUGGUAGGGUAACGGCCUACCAAGGCGAAGACGGGUAGGGGGUGUGAGAGCACGACCCCCCACAAUGGGACUGAGACACGGCCCAUACUUCUACGGGAGGCAGCAGCAGGGAAUAUUGCACAAUGGACGCAAGUCUGAUGCAGCGACGCCGCGUGGAUGAUGAAGGCCCUCGGGUCGUAAAAUCCUUUUCAGGGGGACGAGGAAGGACGGUACCCCUGGAAUAAGCGUCGGCUAACUACGUGCCAGCAGCCGCGGUAAGACGUAGGACGCAAGCGUUAUCCGGAUUUACUGGGCGUAAAGCGUCUGUAGGCGGUUCGAUAAGUUGGGCGUGAAAGCUCCGGGCUUAACCCGGAGAGGUCGUUCAAUACUGUCGAACUAGAGGACAUCAGAGGAGCAUGGAAUUUCCGGUGUAGCGGUAAAAUGCGCAGAUAUCGGAAGGAACACCAGUGGCGAAGGCGGUGCUCUGGGGUGGGCCUGACGCUGAGAGACGAAAGCUAGGGGAGCGAACAGGAUUAGAGACCCUGGU
rnacentral:rRNA from 1 species